CUUGCCUAUCAUGGCCCUCGCAUCUACGAAGCAAAGGUACAAAAAGCUGAGAUUCGAAAGAAUGAAUGGAGAUAUUUUGUUCACUACCUUGGAUGGAACAAAAAGUGAGUGCCUUAACUUACCUUGAUUUCAUUUCAAGUUCAGUUUUCAAAUUGUGGAGGU